GGUCGCUCCCAUGCCAAACGCCCCUGUUUGUUUCCAAAGAAUAUAUUCAUCAGAAACAGUUGAUCAGUCCCACAAGAUGAGCCGAAACCAAAAGAAUAAUGAAGCAGCCCGUGCGAUCAAAACCUUAGCUGUGGUGUUGUCUCGAGCCAUCAUGACCUCGACGAACAAAUUCAACCUCUCAAGAGCAGUUUCAGCAUAUAAUUUGCAAUCCUUACUCAUCUGCAAACCAUUUAAAACCCAAGCCUUGGAAACGGGAGAAGCACGGCGAGGAGAGAAGCGAUGGCUCCAAGUGCUGUACUGGCCGCCACAUGAACCGGGAGCAUGAAAACAUGAG